rnacentral:rRNA from 1 species
AUUGAACGCUGGCGGCAGGCUUAACACAUGCAAGUCGAACGAGCGGCGGACGGGUGAGUAAUGUCUGGGAAACUGCCUGAUGGAGGGGGAUAACUACUGGAAACGGUAGCUAAUACCGCAUACCAUCGGAUGUGCCCAGAUGGGAUUAGCUAGUAGGUGGGGUAACGGCUCACCUAGGCGACGAUCACUAGCUGGUCUGAGAGGAUGACCGGCCACACUGGAACUGAGACACGGUCCAGACUCCUACGGGAGGCAGCAGUGGGGAAUAUUGCACAAUGGGCGCAAGCCUGAUGCAGCCAUGCCGCGUGUAUGAAGAAGGCCUUCGGGUUGUAAAGUACUUUCAGCGGGGAGGCGUUACUCGCAGAAGAAGCACCGGCUAACUCCGUGCCAGCAGCCGCGGUAAUAC